AGUGAACGCUGGCGGUAGGCCUAACACAUGCAAGUCGAACGGCAGCACAGUAAGAGCUUGCUCUUACGGGUGGCGAGUGGCGGACGGGUGAGGAAUACAUCGGAAUCUACUUUUUCGUGGGGGAUAACGUAGGGAAACUUACGCUAAUACCGCAUACGACCUACGGGUGAAAGCAGGGGAUCUUCGGACCUUGCGCGAUUGAAUGAGCCGAUGUCGGAUUAGCUAGUUGGCGGGGUAAAAGCCCACCAAGGCGACGAUCCGUAGCUGGUCUGAGAGGAUGAUCAGCCACACUGGAACUGAGACACGGUCCAGACUCCUACGGGAGGCAGCAGUGGGGAAUAUUGGACAAUGGGCGCAAGCCUGAUCCAGCCAUACCGCGUGGGUGAAGAAGGCCUUCGGGUUGUAAAGCCCUUUUGUUGGGAAAGAAAAGCAGCAGGUUAAUACCCCGCUGUUCUGACGGUGCCCAAAGAAUAAGCACCGGCUAACUUCGUG
rnacentral:rRNA from 1 species